rnacentral:rRNA from 1 species
AACGCGAAGAACCUUACCAGGUCUUGACAUCCUCUGACAACCCUAGAGAUAGGGCUUUCCCUUCGGGGACAGAGUGACAGGUGGUGCAUGGUUGUCGUCAGCUCGUGUCGUGAGAUGUUGGGUUAAGUCCCGCAACGAGCGCAACCCUUGAUCUUAGUUGCCAGCAUUUAGUUGGGCACUCUAAGGUGACUGCCGGUGACAAACCGGAGGAAGGUGGGGAUGACGUCAAAUCAUCAUGCCCCUUAUGACCUGGGCUACACACGUGCUACAAUGGACAGAACAAAGGGCUGCGAGACCGCAAGGUUUAGCCAAUCCCACAAAUCUGUUCUCAGUUCGGAUCGCAGUCUGCAACUCGACUGCGUGAAGCUGGAAUCGCUAGUAAUCGCGGAUCAGCAUGCCGCGGUGAAUACGUUCCCGGGCCUUGUACACACCGCCCG